GGCCCGCAGCUGGACCCACGAAGCCAGGCGCCACCAUCUUCUUCCAUCGAGUUUGUCUAGGGUUAGGGGGGUCACCAUCUGCGAUCGCAGGCGGAAGGUGGAUCCGCGAGGAGGUGCUCUGCUACGCGAUGUUGCUGCGGCUGCUGCGUUCGUGGCGGCGCCGUCACCACCCGCCGCAGAGAGGCGGAGCGCUGGCCGCCGCGCUGGUGAUCCUCCUCCCGGCUUUCUUCCCGUCGCUCUUCACCCCGCUCGGCCACGCAUUCCCUUCCCUCUUCUCCGAAUGGAAUGCUCCCAAACCGAUGCAUCUAUCUCUUCUAAGGGAUGCCUUAGAACGUCAAACAUCAAUUGAUCAACAGUCUGAGCUUUGGGCUCCCUUAGCAUCACAAGGAUGGAAACCUUGUAUUGAAUCUACAAGUACCUCUUCACUCCCCAGUAAGUCAAAUGGAUAUAUUCAGGUUUUCCUUGAUGGUGGACUGAACCAACAGAGAAUGGGAAUCUGUGAUGCAGUUGCUGUUGCUAAAAUUUUGAAUGCUACCCUUGUUAUCCCAUACCUUGAAAUCAAUCCUGUCUGGAGAGACUCAAGCUCUUUUGAGGAAAUAUAUGAUGUGGAUCAUUUUAUUGAUGUCCUCAAAGAAGAAAUCUCAAUAACUAGAGAAUUGCCCAAGGAAUACUCUUGGAGCACUAGAGAGUAUUAUGCUAUUGGCAUUAGGGCUACAAGAGUAAAGACUGCACCUUCUCAUGCUUCAGCAAACUGGUAUCUCGAGAAUGUUCUACCUGUCUUACAGAGUUAUGGUAUUGCUGCCAUUUCCCCUUUUUCACACCGAUUGGCUUUUGAGAAUUUGCCUGGGGAUAUACAACGCUUAAGAUGUAAGGUCAAUUUUCAAGCACUGGCAUUUGUCUCUCAUAUCAACGCUUUAGGGGAGACACUUGUUAAGCGGUUGAGGAGUCCAGUCCAUAAACAACCUGAGGAGUUUUUAAAGGAAGUAGCGGAUGAAAAUGUUCAGGAGGGCCCUGGAAAGUUUGCUGUGCUGCACCUUAGGUUCGAUAAGGACAUGGCUGCACACUCUGCCUGUGAUUUUGGGGGUGGUAGAGCUGAAAGGCUUGCUUUGGCCAAGUACAGGCAAGUGAUUUGGCAAGGGAGGGUCUUAAACUCCCAAUUCACUGAUGAGGAAUUACGAGGCCAGGGUAGAUGUCCAUUAACUCCUGAAGAAAUAGGAUUGCUACUGGCAGCUUUAGGCUUUGACAGCAGCACUCGUCUAUAUCUUGCCUCUCAUAAGGUGUAUGGUGGAGAGGCCAGGAUAUCCAGCCUACGCAUGCUUUUCCCACUGAUGGAUGAUAAGAAGAGUCUUGCUUCAGAAGAGGAGUUAGCUAAGGUGGAAGGAAAGGCAUCUCUUCUAGCCGCCGUCGAUUACUAUGUUAGCAUGCACAGUGAUAUCUUCAUUUCUGCAUCCCCAGGGAAUAUGCACAAUGCAGUUCUGGGCUAUCGAACUUACGAAAACUUGAAGACCAUACGACCAAACAUGGGUUUGCUAGGACAACUCUUCCUGAACAAGACCAUGGACUGGUCCGAGUUCGAACGGGCUGUCCAAGCUGGUCACAAAGCUAGACAAGGGCAAAUCAGGUUGAGGAAACCAAAACAAUCCAUAUAUACAUAUCCAGCUCCAGAUUGCAUGUGCCAAGGAUGAAGAACACAUUUUUUCUCCUAAAAGUAUACCCUUCAAUUUGCAUUGGUUGCAUCAAUAGAGCAGAGUCUGUAGGCAGUCAACGGAAAAGAAAGCAGCGGCGGAAAGAUGACCUCGUACACUUUUGCCUGCACGCAGAUAAGAUAGUAGGCAUCGGCGCCUGCUCCGGUCAUGGCCGCAGCAACGUACCCCCAUCUUCGGCGACUUCGACUUCUUUUGCUGCUUAGGAAGGACUACUCUCCCCUGGCUGCCUGCUGAAAGGGGUUUUGCUGUGAGAUCAUACGUUGUGGGAACAGCUUUGCCUUCAUCCAAAGACGCCAUUUGCAUGGCCAACCAUCGUCUUCACGGCACGCACUUACUGCUGCGGACGUACACCAGCAAAGCCACGGGUCAUACGGCGCUUUGCGCCAUAAACAUGAGCACAGGUACACACCCAUUCUUCCUUCCAUGUUGGGGCUGUGAGAGAGCCUCUUACCUCUGUCAUGUAGGAGGUGGCGAACUUUUUCGUAGGUUUCUCCUGCACUGUCUUGUCAAAUCCAUCAUAAAAGCCCCUUUGAGUUAUCUUUCUCCGCUGGUCCAAACCACACGAACAGUCUUUAUAAGCUGCCUUCCCUUCGACAGCUCUCAUCAUCUCAACCCCCAUUCGUUAGCUUUCCCCUUGUGAAAGUUCCCAUCGUCCAAUGGGAACUCCUCCGUCUUCCUGUUCUGAGCAUGAUGCCCUGUGUUGGGAUAAAGAACAGUAGAUGCAUUCCUCAUCGUCGCAGCACUGUUCUGGGGCUACGUGCGUUGCAUGUCAUCUCUGGGUUUCUGCUGUUGGUACUCUCAUCUAAGGCCUUGCAUGGGAGGAUGAGGUCACAGUGUGUAGCCAAGGAUGACUUGCCGGCGAGCUUACUCAUGCAUGUUCAUCUUGAAUAGCAGUAGUAGCACGCACCGUUGUUAAAGGCCGGCAAGUCGUUUUUGGCUACAUGUUUGCCUCUUCUUAUCAUGCUAGGCCAAAGAUGAUGAUCUUGAUUGGAUUUCUGAGUACUGCUUCUGAAGAAGAGUGCUGUGAACUAGCUGACUUCCAUGGGAAAAGAAUCGAUUUGAUUUCUUAGCUUGUAGCUUGAUUUCAUCUACUAACAUUGCUUAGGCUUCCUUUUUCUUCUUACUCUCACUUGUCUUCGUCACUGCUCUCUCUCUCUCUCUAUCUCUCUCUCUCUCUGAUCUUUGGAAUUGCAAUUAAUAUCAUUUUUUUGUUUGAUUUCUCUGUUACUUUCACUUAUAAAAUGGUGCCUUCUGAACCGAAAGAAAAAAAGACCCAAGGUUGCGUUUGACACAACCUUAAAUAAAAGCGUUUACAGUCUGAUUAUUUUGGAAGGGUCUCCAAAAGUUCUUGCAAUUCUUUGACGACUCAUAUUUACAUUUCAUCAUCAUCUCAAUCAUCAACUAAAUGGUUGUCUGUUUAUUCUCACCACAAGAUGUUACUAAUGUAGCUUAACAUCUUUCUGUCCUGCUCACCAAUUAGACAAAGGUUUGCUAGUUUUGUAUCAAGUCAUCAGUAGCUCAAAUCCAUCAUGAUCAUUGAGAUAUUUAUGGUGCACAUAAGUUCUCUAUCAGAUCCUCCCAUGACAUCUACAUACUACUAUGAAAGAUGAAAAUAACUUGUCCAUGCCUAUGAGAUCCAUAAAAGAAUAUGUUACUCUUGAGCAAGAUGUUAAGAAGGAUCUUAGAUUUAAGUUAGCAUGAUUCUUCAUAGAAGAAAAUGGGACUCCCUUUCUUUCAUUCUACUUGGUAUCGUUCUGCUUCAAGUUAUUAUUACAGAUCAAAAGGUCAAACAUAGUGCUACGUGUGAUAAGAAGCAGCAGAGGAGUAUAACUUGGAGUCAGCUCAUGUCUUCCUCACGAGACUGAAAGGAGUUGAGCGGUUUCAGAGGGAGAGGAAACCUUCUUUGACGAAGAGGCCGAACAUGAGGAUGAGGAGGCCGAUGGCGAUGCACUGCGUGGAGGAGACGAGCGUCUGUGAGUAGGCGCCCAGCGUCAGUGCCGUCCCCAGGCAUCCGAUCAAGAACCCGCUCAGGUUCCGCCCCUCCAUCUCUCUCUCUCUCUCUCUCGCUGCUUCGAUCUCGUCGUCGUCGGCUCCGGUUGUGCUCUUUGUUGAGCCCUGAUCUCGAACUCUUCGGUUGCUCAAGGGACGAGACGGCCUUCAACGCCCUUUGAACGGUCAAAGUCAACUGUUCCGGAGAUAUUUAUCUGGAGAUACGCUUUCCCAUCCACGUACGUUUUACGGGUCGGCCAGCUGUCUCUUGACUAGUGAGUACGUCGGGCCCCACAUGUGGGACUGUCUUCAAAUCAUACAAGCUUUGGAUUCGAGAUUAAACCUAAUAGUAUGUUAUACUAAAAGAUACUUUGAGUUCAAUCAUUACCUCGCAACAAAAUAAUUUCUAUCCA